GCCACUGAGCAGCAUUGGGGCCAUAUUGGCGCUUGCGACUAAGUGUCCAAGCACAGCAUGGCCACUGUAAAGGUGAGCUUAGAGCCUCAGUUUGUUUCGGGCUCUCGUGCUAAGCGGUACAACAUGCUAUCGAUGCGAUAACAUCGAAAACCUGUGUUCGCCACAAAAGCAAAGUUAACAACGAAUCGCAAACGAAUCACAACGGAUUGUGUUUCAAGUAUUUUCAAGUGGAUACGAUACAAAAUACGUGAUGAAAUUUUCUAUCUAGUGCUAUUGAACGAAUACUCCAAAAAAGUGCGACGGAAGUAGAAUCCCACCAAAAAAAGAUUGUUUUAAAAACGACAGCAGCAAUAUUCACAAUGAUGUGGUGAAAAGGAAAGGUGAAAACUUACUUAAAAAAAAAAAAUAAAAAUAAUGCUCCCUGCUGUCGUGCAAG